GAUGAACGCUAGCGAUAGGCUUAACACAUGCAAGUCGAGGGGCAGCAUGAUCUUAGCUUGCUAAGGUCGAUGGCGACCGGCGCACGGGUGGUAACGCGUAUGCAACUUGCCUUACAGAGGGGGAUAACCCGUUGAAAGACGGACUAAAACCGCAUACACGUAUUAUUGCAUGAUAUUACAAGGAAAUAUUUAUAGCUGUAAGAUAGGCAUGCGUCCCAUUAGCUGGUUGGUGAGGUAACGGCUCACCAAGGCGACGAUGGGUAGGGGAACUGAGAGGUUUAUCCCCCACACUGGUACUGAGACACGGACCAGACUCCUACGGGAGGCAGCAGUGAGGAAUAUUGGUCAAUGGGCGAGAGCCUGAACCAGCCAAGUCGCGUGAAGGAAGACAGUCCUAAGGAUUGUAAACUUCUUUUAUACGGGAAUAAACGGGCGAUACGAGUAAUGCAAUUGA
rnacentral:rRNA from 1 species